GACGAACGCUGGCGGCGUGCCUAACACAUGUAAGUCGAGCGAUGAAACCCUUCGGGGUGGAUUAGCGGCGGACGGGUGAGUAACACGUGGGUAACCUGCCUCAAAGAGGGGGAUAGCCUCCCGAAAGGGAGAUUAAUACCGCAUAACAUUAGUUUUUCGCAUGAAGGACUAAUUAGAGGAGUAAUCCGCUUUGAGAUGGACCCGCGGCGCAUUAGCUAGUUGGUGAGGUAAAGGCUCACCAAGGCGACGAUGCGUAGCCGACCUGAGAGGGUGAUCGGCCACAUUGGAACUGAGACACGGUCCAGACUCCUACGGGAGGCAGCAGUGGGGAAUAUUGCACAAUGGGCGAAAGCCUGAUGCAGCAACGCCGCGUGAGUGAUGAAGGCCUUCGGGUUGUAAAGCUCUGUCUUUUGGGACGAUAAUGACGGUACCAAAGGAGGAAGCCACGGCUAACUACGUGCCAGCCGCCGCCGUAACAC
rnacentral:rRNA from 1 species